CUGUCAAUAAAUAUAUAAUAAAAACAAAGAUGCUUAAAACUAGUUAACAACGGUGGUCUGUUUUUCUAUUGACAACAGAGCUCAUAAACUUAAAUAUUUUUAUAAAAUGGUAAACGAACGUUCAGGUACAAUAGAACAAUUGCGACAAUGGAAUUCAUUUAACCCCUGUGGGCUCCAGGUACUGUUUUCUGGAAGAAUAGUGGCAGCAGACAUUGGGCUGGAUCGUUGUCAAUAUUAUCAUUUAGAAUUCUUACAGGAGAGAGAAUGCGCUCGAAAAGUUUACCCACGUUUGACAGUAAAGAAAUUGGACGAAAAUCUGCUGCAGUUUCGCUGUUUGGUUUCUUCUUGAUUGGAACAAUUUUAGCUAUUUUCCAAUCUUCGGGAAAGUAACCGUUAUUAAUACAAUUGUUGUAUAGUGACAAUUCGUGAAGUGAAAGUUGUCUGUAUUUUCAAGAGCAGUAUGCAGGAAGAUAUUUUUUCAUCAAGAUCACGAACAAGCCUCUCCGGAAUUGUUUUGCGGAAGGAAGAUGAAUAGAAAAUUUUGAAUUGCUCAGCAAUAUCAUUGCUAGUUGUGAAAAUAUUAUUAUUCUGUUGCAGAUGUUGGCAAAUGCCAACUUUUGAUGCGGACGAACCAGUUGAAGUUGCUUAGGAAGAACUUUGUACUCACUGCUGAGACGAUUUCCAGAGCGAUGAUUUAUUUAUGGGAGGCAUUAUCUGACGAGAUGCAGCAUCUAGAUCAUUACGGAAGUUAUCCCAAUUGGUAUUCUUGUAAGAUGUAUAAGAUUGUACAGGAGUCAAAAUGAUAUCUGAGCAUUUUAUUUCUAUUUUCAGUUUCAACGAAGAAAUUUGAAAUUGUUCCAUCGAUAAAGUUGGUGCUAAGGAGAAAAUGGUCUAAAAAAGAAUUCCCAUUUGGAUAUGAGUCACAAAACCUGGCGACGUCCAUUGCAUUAUCUUCCAGCCACUUUGACAGUACAUUCCCAUUUGUAUUAUUAAGAGUGUCGCCCGAAGCCAAAUUUCUAGCAUUCAGAUCUCCACCUAAUAUAAAGCCAUCAAAAUUACAACAUAACUGUGACAAUUUGCUCAAGUCAGCCUCCAGUCUUUGAGGCGAGUAUCUGCAUGGGAUGUAGACAAAUGCAAUCCGAGUGUAUUUAUAUGAUUUUUUAACCACAACAGCAGUACCGACCUGAGAGUUGUCGUAAAUAAAGAAGUACCCAUUUAUUUUAA
rnacentral:sRNA from 14 species